rnacentral:lncRNA from 1 species
ACAAUCUUAGUUUUCCUAGGAAAAUCUUUUGUAUGCUCAUUUUCUUGGUUGCACAAGCCCCAAUAUCUUUGUGCGUGUGUAUUUUACUUUUCCUCUUUCUCCUUACACCUGUGAUCACCUGUAUAGCAUUUUAGUUCAAUUUGGUUCAUUUACAACUUGUACAAAAACCUUGAACUUCAAUUUGCUUUAUCUGGUGCCACUAGCCCCUACCAAGACCCUCCAUAAGCUUUGUGUUAAGCAUACUGUUUGACAAUGACAAUUAUCAAGUUAUUCACUUUGCAUCGACAAAUUGUGAGAUCUCUUGAUCCUUCGCCAAAGAAAGGUAACCUUGGUAUUGUUCAUCUCCUUUUCUACUCACACCUUCUUGAGGGCCCAUAAGCUUUGUGUUAGGCAUACGUGUUUGACAAUGAUAAUUACCAAGUUAUUCACUUUGCAUCACAAAUUGUGAGAUCUCUUGAUCCUUCGCCAAAAUGAGAGAAAGGUAACUUUGGUAUUGUUCAUCUCCUUUUCUACUCACGCCUUUUUGAGUGCUUUGAUAGAUAUAAGGGCGGUGCAUCUCAUCCGGCCUUCGACGACCAAGUAGAAGUGAACAACUAUGUCACCAAGUCUCGCCACUUCAGACUGCAAUGAGCUAUGAACGACACAACUGCAAUCUUGAAUGAGCACCUUGCCACCGAUGUGCGCUAAUAUGAAGCUCUCGUGAGGGACUAUCUCAACGCCAAGUUAGACACACAAAUGGACUGCAUUCAAGACAAGUUCUACAAGUGCAAGUCUUCUUCAUCACUUUCAAGAGAGCAUUCAAUUGCACAUUCGUCCGAGCUACCAUCCAGCGCAAGUACAUACCAGUCUCAAUGUCACCAUCAUCAUAAAGAACAAGAAGCCUAUCUUGCUCUAAAAUAUAAAUCCUCCUCAAGGCAAUGGAUUGCAAGGUCGCAUCCUUGAGCGUGAACAACGCCAACGUGAAGCUCAAGAGCAACAUGACGCUUACGAACAUUAACUGAGGCAAGAGGAAGAAUGACAUCGUUAAAAAAAUAGUGCCACCACCGAGAUGAAGAACAUGAGGCACCCUCGCAAGAAGAAUCCCGUAAAGUGGACCAAGCAAAUCAACCACGCCGAUCUCUUCAUACUAACCUUCAAGAGCACAGCCGAAGGGAAAAUAAGAGAGCCAAGACAAAGAAGCUCGCAUUGAGCAACGUCAUGAGAUGCAGAGAGCCAAGACAAAGAAGCUCGCAUUGAGCAACGUCAUUGUAAUGCCC